rnacentral:sRNA from 1 species
GCUUCCCGCUCCCGCUGGGCGUCCCGCCACUACCUGAGGCUGGGCCCGGGGUGGGGGAUCCGGGAGGGUGCAGUUCGGGAUCGCGAAGGCAGCCCCGGAAGGGGGGCGGGCCGGUCGGGGUCGCCACAUCUUAGUUCGGAGCCCGGCCGGGGGCAGAGGGUGCCCUAGGGGACGCAAAGGAGCCGCAUUCCUCCUUCUAGAGCGUUUCACCGGACCCGGGGGCUCCCCCUCUCGUCUUCCUCCGUUCCCCAACUUGGAAUAAAGAAUCACCUAGUGACAGAGCUGAAUGAACCUCUCUCCAAUGAAGAUCGAAAUCUCCUCUCUGUGGCCUACAAGAAUGUGGUUGGUGCCAGGCGAUCUUCCUGGAGGGUCAUUAGCAGCAUUGAGCAGAAAACCAUGGCUGAUGGAAACGAAAAGAAAUUGGAGAAAGUUAAAGCUUACCGGGAGAAGAUUGAGAAGGAGCUGGAGACAGUUUGCAAUGAUGUCCUGUCUCUGCUUGACAAGUUCCUGAUCAAGAACUGCAAUGAUUUCCAGUAUGAGAGCAAGGUGUUUUACCUGAAAAUGAAAGGUGAUUACUACCGCUACUUAGCAGAGGUCGCUUCUGGGGAGAAGAAAAACAGUGUGGUCGAAGCUUCUGAAGCUGCCUACAAGGAAGCCUUUGAAAUCAGCAAAGAGCAGAUGCAACCCACGCAUCCCAUCCGGCUGGGGCUGGCCCUCAACUUCUCCGUGUUCUACUAUGAGAUCCAGAAUGCACCUGAGCAAGCCUGCCUCUUAGCCAAACAAGCCUUCGAUGAUGCCAUAGCUGAGCUGGACACACUAAACGAGGAUUCCUAUAAGGACUCCACGCUGAUCAUGCAGUUGCUGCGAGACAACCUCACCCUCUGGACGAGCGACCAGCAGGAUGAAGAAGCAGGAGAAGGCAACUGAAGAUCCUUCAGGUCCCCUGGCCCUUCCUUCACCCACCACCCCCAUCAUCACCGAUCCUUCCUUGCCACAAUCACUAAAUAUCUAGUGCUAAACCUAUCUGUAUUGACAGCACAGCUACUCAGAUCUGCACUCCUGUCUCUUGGGAAGCAGUUUCAGAUAAAUCAUGGGCAUUGCUGGACUGAUGGUUGCUUUGAGCCCACAGGAGCUCCCUUUUUGAAUUGUGUGGAGAAGUGUGUUCUGAUGAGGCAUUUUACUAUGCCUGUUGAUCUAUGGGAAAUCUAGGCGAAAGUAAUGGGGGAGAUUAGAAAGAAUUAGCCAACCAGGCUACAGUUGAUAUUUAAAAGAUCCAUUUAAAACAAGCUGAUAGUGUUUUGUUAAGCAGUACAUCUUGUGCAUGCAAAAAUGAAUUCACCCCUCCCACCUCUUUCUUCAAUUAAUGGAAAACUGUUAAGGGAAGCUGAUACAGAGAGACAACUUGCUCCUUUCCAUCAGCUUUAUAAUAAACUGUUUAACGUGAGGUUUCAGUAGCUCCUUGGUUUUGCCUCUUUAAAUUAUGACGUGCACAAACCUUCUUUUCAAUGCAAUGCAUCUGAAAGUUUUGAUACUUGUAACUUUUUUUUUUUUUUUGGUUGCAAUUGUUUAAGAAUCAUGGAUUUAUUUUUUGUAACUCUUUGGCUAUUGUCCUUGUGUAUCCUGACAGCGCCAUGUGUGUCAGCCCAUGUCAAUCAAGAUGGGUGAUUAUGAAAUGCCAGACUUCUAAAAUAAAUGUUUUGGAAUUCAAUGGGUAAAUAAAUGCUGCUUUGGGGAUAUCA